ACAGCGUCAAUCCGGAAAACCUCUCCGCAGAAUUCCAGAGAGUCCUGCAGGACCAGGCCAUCGCCACUCAUGUCUCGGUGAAGCUGAUCCUGCCCACCGCACUGUGUCUGAAGGGAGAAGCCGAGGAGAGUCACACUGUCCAGAGGGAGGUGGGCAGCAUCUCCAGGGACACCGAGGUCACCUUCCAGUUCAGAGUCAGGGAGCCGGACAGGCAGGCUGUCCUGUCUCAGGGGCGUGUGUCUGUCCAGCUGCAGGUCAGGUUCAGACAGCUGGAUGGACAGAGGAGACUCCGAGUAGAAUCUGUUGAGAGAGAGGUGACUGA